rnacentral:rRNA from 1 species
UCGCGAAAACUUUGCAAUACACGAAAGUGUGACAGGGCUAUCCCGAGUGCCAUCCGCUGAGGAAGGCUUUUACCCAGUCUAGAAAGCUGGGGGAAUAAGGAGAGGGCAAGUCUGGUGUCAGCCGCCGCGGUAAUACCAGCUCUCCGAGUGGUGUGGAUGUUUAUUGGGCCUAAAGCAUCCGUAGCUGGCUAAGUUAGUCCCUUGUUAAAUCCACCGAAUUAAUCGUUGGAUUGCGGGGGAUACUGCUUAGCUAGGGGACGAGAGAGGCAGACGGUAUUUCCGGGGUAGGGGUGAAAUCCUAUAAUCCCGGGAAGACCACCAGUGGCGAAGGCUGUCUGCUAGAACGCGCCCGACGGUGAGGGAUGAAAGCUGGGGGAGCGAACCGGAUUAGAUACCCGGGUAGUCCCAGCUGUAAACGAUGCAAACUAGGUGUUUGAACGGCCACGUGCCGUUCUAGUGCCGCAGGGAAGCUGUUAAGUUUGCCGCCUGGGGAGUACGAUCGCAAGAUUGAAACUUAAAGGAAUUGGCGGGGGAGCGACCAACG